ensembl:misc_RNA Metazoa_SRP Metazoan signal recognition particle RNA
GCCAGGCGUGGUGGCGCAUGCCUGUAAUCCCAGCUACUUGGGAGGCUGAGGCAGGAGAAUCACUCGAACCUGGGAGGCUGAGGUUGCAGUGAGCUGAGAUCGUGCCACUGCACUCUAGCCUGGUGACAGAGUGAGACUCUGUGUCAA